rnacentral:rRNA from 1 species
CCUACGGGAGGCUGCAGUGGGGAAUAUUGCACAAUGGGGGAAACCCUGAUGCAGCGACGCCGCGUGAGUGAAGAAGUAUUUCGUUACGUAAAGCUCUAUCAGCAGGGAAGAAACACUGACCUUACGGUCAGCAGACGGUACCUGAGUAAGAAGCCACGGCUAACUACGUGCCAGCAGCCGCGGUAAUUCGUAGGGGGCAAGCGUUAUCCGGAUUUACUGGGGGUAAAGGGAGCGUAGACGGUGAGCCAAGUCUGAAGUGAAAUGCCGCGGCUUAACUGCGGAACUGCUUUGGAAACUGGCGAACUAGAGUGCGGGAGGGGUAAGCGGAAUUCCUAGUGUAGCGGUGAAAUGCGUAGAUAUUAGGAGGAACACCAGUGGCGAAGGCGGCUUACUGGACCGUAACUGACGUUGAGGCUCGAAAGCGUGGGGAGCAAACAGGAUUAGAUACCCUGGUAGUC